CUGUCCGAGGGGCGCUGCAGCAGGUUUACCUGUCAGGCUCGGAUGGGGCGUUGCUGGCCACAGUCGGCCAGAUACCAAACGCACAACGGCGCCCAUUCGCA
rnacentral:ncRNA from 2 species